UACGUAGGGGGCAAGCGUUGUCCGGAAUCAUUGGGCGUAAAGCGCGUGUAGGCGGUCCGGUAAGUCCGCUGUGAAAGUCGGGGGCUCAACCCUCGAAUGCCGGUGGAUACUGUCGGGCUAGAGUGCGGAAGAGGCGAGUGGAAUUCCUGGUGUAGCGGUGAAAUGCGCAGAUAUCAGGAGGAACACCAAUUGCGAAGGCAGCUCGCUGGGACGUUACUGACGCUGGAGACGCGAAAGCGUGGGGAGCAAACAGG
rnacentral:rRNA from 1 species